rnacentral:rRNA from 1 species
AACGUAGGAGACAAACGUUAUCCGGAGUUACUGGGCGUAAAGGGCGUGUAGGUGGUUACGUAAGUCUGGCGUGAAAUUUCUCGGCUUAACCGAGGCAGGUCGUCGGAUACUGCGAGACUAGAGGACGGUAGAGGCGUGUGGAAUUCCGGGUGUAGUGGUGAAAUGCGUAGAGAUCCGGAGGAACACCGAUGGCGAAGGCAAUCCCCCUGGACCUGUACUGACGCUCAUGCACGAAAGCGUGGGGAGCAAACAGG